CACACCGCCCGUCACACCAUGGGAGUCAGUUGCUCCAGAAGUGGCUGAGCCAACCCGCAAGGGGGCAGGUCCCUAAGGAGUGGCUGGUAACUGGGGUG
rnacentral:rRNA from 1 species